GCAUAUAAGUAAGCGGAGGAAAAGGAACUAAAUAGGAUUCCCUCAGUAAUGGCGAAUGAACAGGGAUGAGCUCAGGCUGGAAAACCGAUACAUCUGUGUCGGGCUGUAGCCUGCAGGCAUAGCGCUAUCGGCGGCUCGAGCGCAAGCCUCUUGGAAUAGAGCGUGUGCCCGGGUGAGAAUCCUGCAUUUCGCUCGAUGUCCGCUGUCCACAGUGCUUGUUCUGAGAGUCACGCUCCUCGGAAUUGGAGCGUAAAUCAGGUGGUAAGUUUCAUCCAAAGCUAAAUAGAAGCUCGAGACCAAUAGCAAACAAGUACCAUGAGGGAAAGAUGAAAAGGACUUUGGAAAGAGAGUUAAAAGUGUUUGAAAUUGCUGAGAGCGAAGCGAACGGAGCCACAUGUCGUGCUGAGAAUGCUGUGGGUCGUUGUGAGCCUUGAGCAUGUAAGCGCAAGCUGACUGCUUAUGCGUGAGCAUUUGUCCGCAGUGUUUCUCAGCAUGCGAGUCAUUAGCCACAUUUGUUUGAGGAUGGCCUUUCAGCUCACAUGGCACACUUGUUAGUGUGCCUCUGUGCGGUGUGGGACUCAGACAGGUGUGGCUUGUUGACCCAGUGGUUUUUUUCGACCCGUCUUGAAACACGGACCAAGGAG
rnacentral:rRNA from 1 species